CCUACGGGAGGCAGCAGUGAGGAAUAUUGGUCAAUGGUCGGGAGACUGAACCAGCCAAGCCGCGUGAGGGAUGAAGGUACAGAGUAUCGUAAACCUCUUUUGUCAGGGAACAAAGGCGGGGACGCGUCCCCGGAUGAGUGUACCUGAAGAAAAAGCAUCGGCUAACUCCGUGCCAGCAGCCGCGGUAAUACGGAGGAUGCGAGCGUUAUCCGGAUUUAUUGGGUUUAAAGGGUGCGCAGGCGGUCUGUUAAGUCAGCGGUAAAAGCCCGGGGCGCAACCCCGGCCCGCCGUUGAAACUGGCAGUCUCGAGUUGGAGAGAAGUAUGCGGAAUGCGCGGUGUAGCGGUGAAAUGCAUAGAUAGCGCGCAGAACUCUGAUUGCGAAGGCAGCAUGCCGGCUCCACACUGACGCUGAGGCACGAAAGCGUGGGUAUCGAACAGGAUUAGAUACCCCUGUAGUC
rnacentral:rRNA from 1 species